rnacentral:lncRNA from 1 species
UCCCUUUCACCGUCAUCCAUGAGAAGACACAGUGUUCCAUCCAGAGGAUGUAGCAUCAAGGCGUCAUCUUAAAAGCAGAGAAAAGACUCUUACUUGACACCAGAUGCCAGUGCAUUGAUCUUGGACUUCCCAGCCUCUAGAACUAUUUAGUUCAGCCUGGUGUGGAUGCAUUUCAGAAUCUGUGAAAAAUGGAAUCACAAUGCUGUGACAGCAGCAUUUCUGCCUGUGGUAUCUGUGAAGCAGGUAAACAGCCCUGGGACAAAGAACAGACUACGGGUAUUGCCUUCUUAAUCAACAAUAAAGUAUUAGUUGGCUUCCAGGCAGACACCACUGACUUUCAAGAGAAAGGCACGGGAGUAAGGAAGUAAAGAAUUCAGGUGCUGCUUGAAAAUACAACAAACUGUCUUCAGAAUACUUUUAUGUGUUGUUGAAAGAAAGCACUGCAGCUAAUAUAGCUACAAAGGAGAAACAGUUAUUCUUAAAUGUCAUCUAUUUGCUGGACCUGAACAGGAAUUCACUAUGGAGCUCAUACAACUACCACCUUCAGCUAUUAAUCAAGGAGUCAUUCAACUGAGAAAGGGGAGAUUGAGAUGUUGAAUCAUUUCUCAUUCUGUGAAGUCUACCAGAAUAACCCAUAAAGCAAAUAUCAACCUAUUUCAAUUAGAAAAAUGAAAAAUACUGAUACAGCAGACGAAUUCUGGAACUAACACUUCCACAAAUCAUUGAUAAUCCAUUUUCCAACUUCUUCAAAUUCCAGACCAUCAACAAGCUAUUCAAAACAAUAAAUGUUAAUAGUUUUGGUGGAGUUAAGCAGCAGAAGUUAAAAGCAUUGUGGAAGACAGUAUGGUGAUUCCUCAAGGAUCUAGAAGCGGAAAUACCAUUUGACCCAGCAAUC